GAUGAAGAACGUAGUGAAAUGCGAUACGUAAUGUGAAUUGCAGAAUUCAGUGAAUCAUCGAGUCUUUGAACGCACAUUGCGCCCACUGGUAUUCCGGUGGGCAUGCCUGUUCGAGCGUCAUUAUCCUCCCUCAAACCCCGGGUUUGGUGUUGGACCCAAGUUGUGUGAACAACUGGUCUCAAAGACAAUGACGGCGUCCGUGGGACCCUCGGUGCAACGAGCUUUUAGGAGCACGCAUCGAGUUGCAAGGACCUUCCGGGCCGGUCUCCUUUACCAUUUUACAAGGUUGACCUCGGAUCAGGUAGGAAUACCCGCUGAACUUAAGCAUAUCAAUAAGCGGAGGA
rnacentral:misc_RNA from 1 species